GUAUUUUUAUUAAAAAAAUCAAAUUCCCUAUAAUUUAUAUUCUAUAAUUACAAGGGGUCGUGAAGGCGGGAAGGGGGGGCUUUCAAUCCCAUUUUUUUGCACUAGAAAAAUUGCUGAUGUAUCAAUUCCAUGCAGUAGUCCAAAUCCAAUUUUCCAGUGAAAAACAUGUUUUCAAUAAAAGGCGAUUCCCGACUGUUUAUACAAUCACCCGCUUCUAACAUGCAGCCGCUUAUUUCUUUGCGUAUCUGCAAAUUAAAUUUACACGAUUGUUCCUUUCAUCUGGAAGUUUUGAGCACAGAAGCUAUGGAAACGCAGUCUGCUAUUACAAUAUUAUUGAAAACACUGGACUAAAUUUUGGCAUGCAAAUCCCCGCACUCCCAUUUUAUCCCUUCACGACCCUCUAUAGAAAUUUGGAAUAAUUUGAAAUUACGUGGUAUAACACUCGAGCUGACACUCGCAAUCCCACAAUUUGCCAUUUCUUUCAAAUUUCCGUUCUUGGUUCCAUAAAAUCAUUGGGAAAACGGAAAAUGUUUUCUACUUCUUGAUAGAAUAAAUAUUUUUCAAAAUGUUUAUUAUAAAUGUUUCAAAAUGUU